rnacentral:rRNA from 1 species
UUUGUAUAAUGGGUCAGCGACUUAGUGUAACGAGCAAGCUUAAGCCGGUAGGUGUAGGCGUAGCGAAAGCGAGUCUGAAUAGGGCGUUCAGUUCGUUGCAUUAGACCCGAAACCAAGUGAUCUAGCCAUGAGCAGGUUGAAGGUACGGUAACACGUACUGGAGGACCGAACCCAUAUCUGUUGCAAUAGAUCGGGAUGACUUGUGGCUAGGGGUGAAAGGCCAAUCAAACUUGGAGAUAGCUGGUUCUCCGCGAAAUCUUAUUUAGGUAGAGCGUCCAGCGAAUACCCC